GACGAACGCUGGCGGCGUGCUUAACACAUGCAAGUCGAACGGAAAGGCCCUGCUUUUGUGGGGUGCUCGAGUGGCGAACGGGUGAGUAACACGUGAGUAACCUGCCCUUGACUUUGGGAUAACUUCAGGAAGCUGGGGCUAAUACCGGAUAGGAGCUCCUGCUGCAUGGUGGGGGUUGGAAAGUUUCGGCGGUUGGGGAUGGACUCGCGGCUUAUCAGCUUGUUGGUGGGGUAGUGGCUUACCAAGGCUUUGACGGGUGGCCGGCCUGAGAGGGUGACCGGCCACAUUGGGACUGAGAUACGGCCCAGACUCCUACGGGAGGCAGCAGUGGGGAAUAUUGCACAAUGGGCGGAAGCCUGAUGCAGCAACGCCGCGUGCGGGAUGACGGCCUUCGGGUUGUAAACCGCUUUCGCCUGUGACGAAGCGUGAGUGACGGUAAUGGGUAAAGAAGCACCGGCUAACUACGUG
rnacentral:rRNA from 1 species